GACAUAGAUGGACAGACAGUCAGUUGGGAGAAGUGGGAGUUGGGAGAAUAGGGAAGGUCUCUUCUGAGAGCUUCUAUCUCCACCAACCCUACCCACACCCUCCUCCACCACCACCACAAGCCAGUGAAUUAGGAAAAGGUAAAAAGUUGGAGGAGGUGCUGGAGAUUUAAAGAGAGACAAGAAACGGUACAGUGGUUAUAGGAAAGUAGAGGAUUGAAUGGACUGAUCAGGACAAUGACGAAACCUUGCCAGCAGCUGUAUGGGCCCACUGUGGUUAUUAGUCAUGAGUUUAAAAUGAGAUUUGUCAGUGUGGUUGUGGGGAUUUUCUCCAGCCACAAUCAGCUGCUGGGGUGCAGGGUGUAGAAGAGGAGGGAAACUGGAUUUAACCAGGGUUUUACCAAGCAGACAUGAUGAAUGAAAGGAAGGAAAAGGUACUGGAGGGUGAAUGAGUGAGCAGUUUUUAAUAGUGGACCAUAGAAUGUAAGCUGAGUCUAGAGGGAACUGAAGAUUUUAUGGGAGUGAGGGAUGGUGAAUGGAUGGAGCAUAGGUCCAAGUGAGGCUGAAGAAUUUUUGGAGUUGGAGUAUCGAGGAAUGGCAUGGAAAGAAGAGAUCAGUAGGUCUAAGAGUGGAUGCAUGAAAUGACCAAGUCUGGAGUAUAACUAUGGGCCAACCACAGAGUUCCAUGGCAGGAGGUCAUUUGUAACUUGUGAAAGCAUGAACUUGGACUUCAUGGCUUUAAGCCUUAGCCGAUAUUGAACUUCACUUCCUCCUUGGAAGCUAGAUUUGGCCGUGUGAUUAGCUACAGUUAAUGUUUGUGAGUGGAAGCCUUAAAAGUUGAUGUGCAAUUUGCUACAUUCCUUUCCCACUGCCAAAUGUUGGUGAAAACGUGUCAAGAUGAUGCCUCUGCCAGCUUGAGUCUUCAUACCCUUCUUCUGACUUGCUUUGGACAUGUAGUAUCAUGGAGAACUAGGAUUUCAAACUGGAUCAUUUUGAGAGUAAAAGGGACAACAGGCACAAUUUGACAAUGUAUGUUCAUCCUAGUGAAACGUGUAAUGUUAAGCCACUGAGACCUGGGGGUUGUUUUUUUACCGCAGCGUAACCUAGCCUAUCUUGAUUGAUAUAUCAAUGCAUGUAUAGAAAUGCUCAAUAACUCAUUCAUAGAAGUGCAACAAAUGACUCAUGUUGCACUAUAACUGUGUGAGGUUGAUAAGAAAAUGGAUUCUAACAUCUAGGCCUAAGGUGAGUCAGCUACAUGGACACUGACAAAUGAGUAACCUGCUGGGAUCAAGAGCUCUUGGCUUCCAAGUGAAGGCUCUUUUUCAGAUCUUUCCAAGGAAAUGUUACCAAGGAGCUACAUUCAGGACAAAAGCUGCUGACAUAAGAAAAGGGUUAGUAUAGCCCAGAAAGACUAGCCUCGGUCUUGUCUGUAUGACCGUAUAUGCUUAAGAGUAUGGCACCAAGUUUUUACCGUGAAGGAGCCUGAGCCAACAUACAGAAUGUUUGAUUUGACCAGCAGAGUAUUGUAGACAAAACAUGAAUUUGCAGCCCUUUCAGUUGAGGAAUCACUCUCAGCUUUGCCACUGCCCUUUGUUUCUUUCUGUCAUUUGAUCCUGCUCUUUUCCACUUCUUCACCUCAGUUGUAUUACCUGCCUGGCUUUUGAAGACAUUUGAGUUUGGACCUCUGUAGGGGACCAUUGUACCUGAGAUGGAAAGCACAGCAGCCUGCAUGGACAGAAACAGGGCACUUCACCUCUGCAGUGUUCCUUCCAUAACCCCAGUCUAAUCAUGAGCAAAAUAAUCAGACAAACCCAGAUUAGGAGACAUCCUACAGGAUACCUGGACAGCAUUCCUAAAGCCUGUCAAGGUCACAAAAAACAAGGAAAGACUGAAGACUGUCAUAGGCCAGAAGCAAAUGGAGAGACAUGGCAACUAAAUGCAAUGUAGUGUCCUGGAUCAGAUACUAGAAUAGUAACAGGUCAUCAAUAGGAACACUGGUGAAGUCUGAAGAAUGUCUGGAAUUUAGAUAACAGUUACGUACCAAUAAUGGGCUCUUAGUUUUGACAAAUGUACCAUGGUAAUGUAAGACAUUAACAAUGGGAGAAACUGGGUGAGGGGUAUACAGGAAUUCUCUUUGCUUAUAUGUGUGACUUUUCUGUAAAUCUAAAAUUAUUCCAACAUAAAAAAAUUUAAAAAUC